UACAUGUGGGGCAAGCGUUGUUCGGAAUUACUGGGCAUAAAGGGUGCGUAGGUGGCUUGUUAAGUCAGGGGUGAAAGUUUUCGGCCCAACCGGAAAAUGGCCUUUGAUACUGGCGAGCUCGAGUGCGUGAGGGGUAACCGGAACGAGCAGUGUAGCGGUGAAAUGCGUAGAUAUUGCUCGGAAGGCCAACGGCGAAGGCAGGUUACUGGUGCGCAACUGACACUGAGGCACGGAAGCGUGGGGAGCAAACAGG
rnacentral:rRNA from 1 species